GAUGAACGCUGGCGGCGUGCUUAACACAUUCAAGUCGAACGAGCAACGGUUGAAAGCUUGCUUUUGACCCGCGCGAGUGGCGGACGGGUGAGUAACGCGUGAGCAACCUGCCUUACUCAGGGGAAUAACACUGGGAAACCGGUGCUAAUACCGCAUGAUGCAUCGAGGUCGCAUGGCCAUGGUGCCAAAGGAGCAAUCCGGAGUAAGAUGGGCUCGCGUCUGAUUAGGUAGUUGGUGGGGUAACGGCCUACCAAGCCGACGAUCAGUAGCCGGACUGAGAGGUUGAACGGCCACGAUUGGAACUGAGAUACCGGUCCAG
rnacentral:rRNA from 1 species